UUGCUGGGAAUUGAGCUCAGGACCCCUGGAAGAGCAGUCAGUGCUCUUAACCUCUGAGCCAUCCCUCCAGCCCUGAUGAAGCCACCUUGGGAUGCAAACGUACCAGUGAAGAGACAAGUUUUUGCGAAGAGACAGGGCGGAGAAAUACAGAGUCACUCACGUAAACUGCAGAGCCUUUCUGCGGCCCUCCUCUGGGUGACUCCUCUUCGAUACUCACUCCAGAAGCGUCGCUGCAAGGUCUCCAUGUAUAACUGAAGCUGGCCUUCAUCACGGCAAAUCUCCUUCCUCGGCCUUCUGAGAGCUAGGACUAUAAGCGUGUACCAGAGCACCCAGCAGAUCUUUUCAUCUCCGUGGGCAGUCACGCUGUCCUGAUUUUCCCCGGUGAAACCCUGGAGCUGUCCUUCUCUGUCACCUCGAUGCGAUUCCCCCAGCAAACACUUUCUCUCUGCCUUCGGAACACACUCAGAUUUGUCCUUCUCCCUCAGAGCGCGGCCAUAGCAUUUCCAUCUGGACCAAGAUGAGGCUCAGACUCCGUUCAUUUGUACGAGUUCCCACCUGACUGAGCAAAAGCCAAGUCCUCUCAGGGCUCUGUGGGGGCUCUUCCGGAUCCGGAGUUACUCAGCCUCGUGUAGACCCCUCCACUCCUGCCAGUUCCUCCAACACGCCAAGCACGCUUCCUCCUGAGCUUCAUGGGACUUGCCUGAAGCACAGCUGCACCUGGGCAGAAUCCAGAGCUUGGAGCCUACAGUAGUGCUGUCCAUCAAAACCCAAGAACAGCCUGGCUGUGGUGGCCCACACCUUUAGUCCCAGCGCUUGGGGGGCAGAGGCAGGUGGAUUUCCGUGAGUUCGAGGGCCAGCCUGGCCUAUAAAGCUACACAGAGAAACCCUGUCUCAGAAAACAAAACAAAAUAAACAAAAACAUCCCCACCCUCCAUCCCUCGGCCCCAGACAGGAUCAUUCACGCCAACAACCUCCUAAGGACAGCCAGCCAGGUAUACAUGCUAAGGACGCCCUCAGUCCCACUGCUCCAGGCCUCACAGAAGACCUUGUCCCUGUGUGACCUUCCCGGAGCCCGCUCCUAGCCCCUGCAUCAGCCUCUGCUCCUACCAGCGCCUCCAGGAUGUCCUCUCGAAGCUAAGGUUUGAAUGAUGGAUCAAAGCCCCUGCAGUGAGCUAGCUCCACCGCAUUUCCGAGCAGCUUUUGAUGGCUUUUCUCAGUCACGUCCCUAAAUGCCGCCAGAACUCACAGACAUAAUGGGAUUCCUGACGGUCGAAUGGUUUAUUGGUCUAGGUCGGCAAUACCAGGGCUGGGGCUUCCAGAAGUUUCAGAGGUGGCUUCACUUCUGCAGAGGCUGAACAUUCAGUCCCGAAGAGGAGAAAGGACCCCCAGCAACUCUAAAGGGACAUUGACUGUCACUUGCUGCUCCUAAGCUAAACUGGUCUGGACCACGAGACUGAAGAAGCCGUUUCUUCCCCGGUGCUCGAUCUUAUCAAUUGUUGCCCCCUCCCCCCCCCCUGUCGCCACAUCCUGCUUUAUCCUGGCAUUCAUUUAUUUCUCUAAACUUUCCUAGCUUGUGACUCCAAUCACCUUGAGACGGAAGCCUGGAAUAGCAACGACCAAUUAAAAUGCAGAAGCACUGAUGACUGGCGUUGAUUAAAACUGCAGGGACACAGGUGAUAAAAGGCUGCCUUCUCCUAGGCACAAGCCCACGUCUUUCCCUGAGGUGUGUCUCAGAUAAUAAACGAACAGACCCUGCUUUCUCUAAGGGAGAGAGAUUGCAGAUUUUCUUGCUGUA